rnacentral:rRNA from 1 species
AGCAGCCGCGGUAAUUCCAGCUCCAAUAGCGUAUAUUAAAGUUGUUGCAGUUAAAAAGCUCGUAGUUGAAUUUCGGGACCAAUCUGCCGGUCGUGCCUCCGGUACGCACUGGUUUUAUUGGUCUCUCCCUUCUGACGAACCAUGAUGUCAUUAAUUUGGUGUCAUGGGGAAUCAGGACUGUUACUUUGAAAAAAUUAGAGUGUUUAUAGCAGGCUCACGCUUGAAUACAUUAGCAUGGAAUAAUGAAAUAGGACGUUUGACCCUAUUUUGUUGGUUUCUAGGAUCGACGUAAUGAUUAAUAGGGAUAGUUGGGGGCAUUAGUAUUCAAUUGUCAGAGGUGAAAUUCUUGGAUUUAUUGAAGACUAACUACUGCGAAAGCAUUUGCCAAGGAUGUUUUCAUUAAUCAAGAACGAAAGUUAGGGGAUCGAAGACGAUCAGAUACCGUCGUAGUCUUAACCAUAAACUAUGCCGACUAGGGAUCGGAUGAUGUUAAUUUUUUAAUGACUCAUUCGGCGCCUUA